GGUUGAUCAGAUUGCUCCUUGGGUGAAGGAAUACAAGAUUGGCAAUGUGCCACAAUUCAUAAAGUCAGAACCCAUUCCUGAGAGUAACAAUGAACCUGUGAAAGUGGUUGUUGCUGAUAGCCUCCAGGAUGUAGUCUUUAAAUCUGGAAAAAAUGUUUUACUGGAAUUUUAUUCUCCAUGGUGCGGGCACUGCAAAAAACUUGCUCCAACUUUAGAGGAAGUGGCUGUCUCAUAUGAAAGCGAUCCUGAUGUCAUCAUCGCUAAGUUUGAUGCCACGGCGAACGACAUUGCAGAUAGCGACUUUGAUGUCCAAGGUUACCCUACUAUGUAUUUCAGGUCAGCAAGCGGAAAGCUGGUGGAGUACAGUGGUGAUAGAUCCAAGGAAGACAUCAUAAAUUUCAUUGAGACAAAUCGCGAUAAAAUCGC
rnacentral:misc_RNA from 1 species